rnacentral:rRNA from 1 species
UACAGAGGAUGCGAGCGUUAUCCGGAUUUAUUGGGUUUAAAGGGUGCGUAGGCGGUCCGUUAAGUCAGCGGUAAAAUUGCGGGGCUCAACCCCGUCGAGCCGUUGAAACUGGCAGACUUGAGUUGGCGAGAAGUACGCGGAAUGCGCGGUGUAGCGGUGAAAUGCGUAGAUAUCGCGCAGAACUCCGAUUGCGAAGGCAGCGUACCGGCGCCAGACUGACGCUGAGGCACGAAAGCGUGGGGAUCGAACAGG